AUGAGUCCUGCUCUCCUUUUCACAAGAAAUGAUGGUUAUCAGGAACAGACAUCCACCUCAGCCUGGGCCAAUCACAUUCUCUCCUGGAAAUCUGGAAUUGUUGUCAAAAGAUCAUCAGUUCAUUGCUACAUAUACAAUGGACCAGGAAUCCCAGCACUUUUACACCUUAACUUAGCAGCUGGCAAAAUGAAUGACCAAGGUGACCCCUCCCAGCAGAGCACAUGACCGACCACAGCUGUGCAUGUUUUUUAGCAUGACUGCACCAGGACAGGCACUGAGCCACUGGGUGGAGCAGUGCACUCUGGGGAGAAGGCUUAUGACAUUUCCCCUAUGAUUUCAGAAAAGAAAAAAACUUUUUCUUAGGAGUUGUUUCUGCUCAAUGACAAUAGAAAAUGGCAUAGUGUAUACAUAGGAGAAGGGGGUGACAGAGGAUGAGAUGGCUGGAUGCCAUCACUGACUUAAAAGACAUGAGUUUGGGAAACUCUGGGAGAUUGUGAAGGAUAGGGAAGCCUGGCGUGCUGCAGCCCAUGGGGUCCCAAAGAGUCCAACACAACUGAGCAGCUAAACAACAACAAAUAUAGAUACAGGGUAUCAGCCAUCCCACAGUGGAAGCCCUUUAAACAUCAAUAGUCCUAGGAGUGUGAAGGUGAGGCAGACAUUGUUAACUAGUUACUGCUCAACUUUCACUUCCUCUUUUCCCUUAAUGACAAAAUCCCAGUUUUAUUUGGGAUGACAAUGUAGACAGCCUCCCUUAGAAGGCUAGGUUCCAGCCCAUGUGAUGUAAAUAGAAGUGCUCUGGAACAUCCAAAUAGGCUGCUUAAAGGAAGAUGACUCCAUUAAAAAGUGUGUUCCUUUUGGCUUUUUUCCUUCCCUCCUUCCUCGGGAUGAAAGUCAUCUUGACCUUGAACUUGUGACCUUGAAGAUGGAAGCCACAGACCAGUAUGAGGGAGCAGGAUGAGAGAAGAGACAGGGUGCCAGAUGAUCAAAGAACAAAAAUACAAGCCCUUAGAUGCUCAGUUUCCAGCUGCUUUUGUGAGAGAAAAAUCAAACAAUAACCACAAAGGCCUCUGUGUUAUUUAAAUCAUUUUUUUUUUUUUUACAAAUUCAGUUUUGUUUUAUAUGUGGCCUAUAAUCUAUCCGAGCAAGAUAUGUUAGUUUGCUAGGGUAUAAGACUCUUGAGAGUCCCUUGGACAGUAAGAUCAAACCAGUCAAUCCUAAAGGAAAUCAUUGUCUGGUAUCUUUAGAGCCUUACUCUGUUGAAGUGAUUCUCAGCUAAACAUUAUGUCUGUUUUAACUGUGAUAAGUAUUUCCACUUUUGUUAUUUAUUAGUGGUAUCUUUUUUUGAAGUGUCAGAUGUUGUGACUAUUUAAAUAAAAUGUCAUUAUAAUUUAAAAAAAAAUCCUAA
ensembl:lncRNA